rnacentral:rRNA from 1 species
AGUGAACGCUGGCGGUAGGCCUAACACAUGCAAGUCGAACGGCAGCACAGUAAGAGCUUGCUCUUACGGGUGGCGAGUGGCGGACGGGUGAGGAAUACAUCGGAAUCUACUUUUUCGUGGGGGAUAACGUAGGGAAACUUACGCUAAUACCGCAUACGACCUACGGGUGAAAGCAGGGGAUCUUCGGACCUUGCGCGAUUGAAUGAGCCUAUGUCGGAUUAGCUAGUUGGCGGGGUAAAGGCCCACCAAGGCGACGAUCCGUAGCUGGUCUGAGAGGAUGAUCAGCCACACUGGAAAUGAGACACGGUCCAGACUACUACGGGAGGAAGCAGUGGGGAAUAUUGGACAAUGGGAGCAAGCCUGAUCCAGCCAUACCGCGUGGGUGAAGAAGGCAUUCGGGUUGUAAAGCCCUUUUGUUGGGAAAGAAAAGCAGCAGGUUAAUACCCCGCUGUUCUGACGGUACCCAAAGAAUAAGCACCGGCUAACUUCGUG